GAUGAAGAACGCAGCAAAAUGCGAUAAGUAAUGUGAAUUGCAGAAUUCAGUGAAUCAUCGAAUCUUUGAACGCACAUUGCGCCCGCCAGUAUUCUGGCGGGCAUGCCUGUUCGAGCGUCAUUUCAACCCUCAAGCACAGCUUGGUGUUGGGACUCGCGUUAAUUCGCGUUCCCCAAAUUGAUUGGCGGUCACGUCGAGCUUCCAUAGCGUAGUAGUAAAACCCUCGUUACUGGUAAUCGUCGCGGCCACGCCGUUAAACCCCAACUUCUGAAUGUUGACCUCGGAUCAGGUAGGAAUACCCGCUGAAUUUAAGCAUAUCAAUAAGCGGAGGA
rnacentral:misc_RNA from 1 species